AAUCAACGCUGGCGGCGUGCCUCAGACAUGCAAGUCGAACGCGAAAGUCCCCUUCGGGGGACAAGUAGAGUGGCGCACGGGUGAGUAACACGUAGGUAAUCUACCUUCGGAUGGGGAAUAACAAUCGGAAACGGUUGCUAAUACCGCAUAAUGCAGCGGCACCUAAUGGUGACAGUUGUUAAAGCGGGGGAUCGAAAGACCUCGCGUCUGAAGAGGAGCCUGCGGCGGAUUAGCAGUUGGUAAGGUAAUGGCUUACCAAGGCGACGAUCCGUAACCGGCCUGAGAGGGCGGUCGGUCACACUGACACUGACAUACGGGUCAGACUCCUACGGGAGGCAGCAGUCGGGAAUUUUGCGCAAUGGGCGGAAGCCUGACGCAGCGACGCCGCGU
rnacentral:rRNA from 1 species